AUGAUCACGCAAGCAAAGCUGGUGGAACAGCUGCGGGAGCACCAGAUCCGGUCGGCGCAGUCAUACUCCGCGGCCCUCGCCGUCUUCUCCCCCAACCCCCACAUCGCCUCCAGGCGGGACCUGAGGGUGGCUCUCCUCUAUGCCUUUUUGUUCUGUUUUCUCAUGGUGUCGUGCUAUGCCGCACUUUACCUGAAAUGGUUCAAGCUCUCGUCCCUCUUUGUAAUCCUCGGAAUCCUUCUCCCAGUAAGUCUCAAAAUCUCUAGGAAUAGAAGGCUCAAAAGGAAAAGAGAGCGAAGAUUGCCGUUGCCCUUGUCCAUGUGA
rnacentral:rRNA from 1 species